UACAGAGGGUGCGAGCGUUAAUCGGAAUUACUGGGCGUAAAGCGUGCGUAGACGGUUACAUAAGUCGGGUGUGAAAGCCCCGGGCUCAACCUGGGAAUUGCAUUCGAGACUGCGUAGCUAGGGUGCGGAAGAGGGAAGCGGAAUUUCCGGUGUAGCGGUGAAAUGCGUAGAUAUCGGAAGGAACACCAGUGGCGAAAGCGGACUCCU
rnacentral:rRNA from 1 species